UACGUAGGUCGCAAGCGUUGUCCGGAUUUACUGGCGUAAGAGCGCGCAGCGGCUGGUCAAGUCCGAUGUGAAUCUCCGCUCAACUGAACUGCAUCGAACUGAUCGCUGAGUGAGAGUAGUGAUCCGUGUAGUGUGAAUGCGUAGAUAUCGAGACACAGUGCGAGCGACUACUGCCACUCUGACGCUGAGCGCGAAGCUAGA
rnacentral:rRNA from 1 species